GUGGGGAAUAUUGGACAAUGGGCGAAAGCCUGAUCCAGCCAUGCCGCGUGUGUGAAGAAGGUCUUCGGAUUGUAAAGCACUUUAAGUUGGGAGGAAGGGCAGUAAGUUAAUACCUUGCUGUUUUGACGUUACCGACAGAAUAAGCACCGGCUAACUUCGUGCCAGCAGCCGCGGUAAUACGAAGGGUGCAAGCGUUAAUCGGAAUUACUGGGCGUAAAGCGCGCGUAGGUGGUUUUGUAAGUUGGAGGUGAAAUCCCCGGGAUCAACCUGGGAACUGCCUCCAAGACUGGAUGACUAGAGUACGGUAGAGGGUAGUGGAAUUUCCUGUGUAGCGGUGAAAUGCGUAGAUAUAUGAAGGAACACCAGUGGCGAAGGCGACUACCUGGACUGAUACUGACACUGAGGUGCGAAAGCGUGGGGAGCAAACAGGAUUAGAAACCCCGGUAGUCC
rnacentral:rRNA from 1 species